GUGAACGCUGGCGGUAGGCCUAACCCAUGCAAGUCGCACGGCAGCACAGUAAGAGCUUGCUCUUACGGGUGGCGAGUGGCGGACGGGUGAGGAAUACAUCGGAAUCUACUUUUUCGUGGGGGAUAACGUAGGGAAACUUACGCUAAUACCGCAUACGACCUACGGGUGAAAGCAGGGGAUCUUCGGACCUUGCGCGAUUGAAUUAGCCGAUGUCGGAUUAGCUAGUUGGCGGGGUAAAGGCCCACCAAGGCGACGAUCCGUAGCUGGUCUGAGAGGAUGAUCAGCCAAACUGGAACUGAGACACGGUCCAGACUCCUACGGGAGGCAGCAGUGGGGAAUAUUGGACAAUGGGCGAAAGCAUGAUACAGCCAUACCGCGUGGGUGAAGAAGGCCUUCGGGUUGUAAAGCCCUUUUGUUGGGAAAGAAAAGCAGCAGGUUAAUACCCCGCUGUUCUGACGGUACCCAAAGAAUAAGCACCGGCUAACUUCGUG
rnacentral:rRNA from 1 species